rnacentral:rRNA from 1 species
AUGAACGCUGGCGGCGUGCUUAACCCCUGCAAGUCGAACGGAAAGGCCCAAGCUUGCUUGGGUACUCGAGUGGCGAACGGGUGAGUAACACGUGGGUGAUCUGCCCUGCACUUCGGGAUAAGCCUGGGAAACUGGGUCUAAUACCGGAUAGGACGAUGGUUUGGAUGCCAUUGUGGAAAGUUUUUUCGGUGUGGGAUGAGCUCGCGGCCUAUCAGCUUGUUGGUGGGGUAAUGGCCUACCAAGGCGUCGACGGGUAGCCGGCCUGAGAGGGUGUACGGCCACAUUGGGACUGAGAUACGGCCCAGACUCCUACGGGAGGCAGCAGUGGGGAAUAUUGCACAAUGGGCGCAAGCCUGAUGCAGCGACGCCGCGUGGGGGAUGACGGCCUUCGGGUUGUAAACUCCUUUCGCUAGGGACGAAGCGUUUUUGUGACGGUACCUGGAGAAGAAGCACCGGCUAACUACGUG